rnacentral:rRNA from 1 species
ACGGAGGGUGCGAGCGUUAAUCGGAAUUACUGGGCGUAAAGCGCGCGUAGGCGGUUUAGUCAGUCAGAUGUGAAAGCCCUGGGCUCAACCUGGGAACUGCAUUUGAUACUGCUGGACUGGAGUAUGGUAGAGGGAAGUGGAAUUCCGGGUGUAGCGGUGAAAUGCGUAGAUAUCCGGAGGAACACCAGUGGCGAAGGCGACUUCCUGGACCAAUACUGACGCUGAGGCGCGAAAGCGUGGGUAGCAAACAGG